rnacentral:rRNA from 1 species
UACGUAGGGCGCAAGCGUUUGUCCGGAAUUAUUGGGCGUAAAGAGCUCGUAGGCGGUUUGUCGCGUCUGCUGUGAAAACCCGAGGCUCAACCUCGGGCCUGCAGUGGGUACGGGCAGACUAGAGUGUGGUAGGGGAGACUGGAAUUCCUGGUGUAGCGGUGAAAUGCGCAGAUAUCAGGAGGAACACCGAUGGCGAAGGCAGGUCUCUGGGCCGUAACUGACGCU